AUACGGAGGGUGCGAGCGUUAAUCGGAAUUACUGGGCGUAAAGCGCGCGUAGGCGGUUUGGUCAGUCGGAUGUGAAAGCCCCAGGCUCAACCUGGGAAUGGCAUUCGAUACUGCCUGACUAGAGUAUGGUAGAGGGAAGUGGAAUUUCCGGUGUAGCGGUGAAAUGCGUAGAUAUCGGAAGGAACACCAGUGGCGAAGGCGACUUCCUGGGCCAAUACUGACGCUAAGGUGCGGAAGCGUGGGGAGCAAACAGGAUUAGAAACCCCAGUAGUCC
rnacentral:rRNA from 1 species